rnacentral:rRNA from 1 species
ACGAAGAAACUCAAAUUAAUAAAAUCGGCUCAAAGGGUGGUUAAACACACAAAUUAAAUAAGGCUAAAAACUAACUCUGCUGUCGCACGCAAUAGUUAAAAUAAGUACAACUUCGAAAGUAGCCCUACUAAAACAAGCUUGAACCCACGACAACUAGGGGACAAACUGGGAUUAGAUACCCCACUAUGCCUAGUUAUAAACUUUGAUUUAUCCGCCAGAAUACUACGAGCAACAGCUUAAAACUCAAAGGACUUGGCGGUGCUCUACACCCCCCUAGAGGAGCCUGUUCUAUAAUCGAUAAUCCACGAUAAACCUCACCAUCUAUUGCCAAUACAGCCUAUAUACCACCGUCCAGCCCACCCUUCAAAGGGCCAACAGUAGGCAUAAUUAUAAACAUAAGAACGUCAGGUCAAGGUGUAGCAUAUAAAAUGGGAAGAAAUGGGCUACAUUUUCUAAAUUAGAAAACUACGGAAAAGCUUGUGAAACAAAACUAUAAAGGAGGAUUUAGCAGUAAAAAGAAAAAAGAGUGUUCUUUUUAAACCGGCAAUGGAGCGCGCACACACCGCCCGUCACCCUCUUCAGACAACUAAAACAAUAAAUAAACAUAACCCCCUAAAAAGAAGAGGCAAGUCGUAACAUGGUAAGUCUACCGGAAGGUGAACUUGGAACAUC